rnacentral:rRNA from 1 species
CAACUACGUGCCAGCAGCCGCGGUAAGACGUAGGGCGCGAGCGUUGUCCGGAUUUAUUGGGCGUAAAGAGCUCGUAGGCGGCUUGUCACGUCGACCGUGAAAACCUGGGGCUCAACCCCAAGCCUGCGGUCGAUACGGGCAGGCUAGAGUUCGGUAGGGGAGACUGGAAUUCCUGGUGUAGCGGUGAAAUGCGCAGAUAUCAGGAGGAACACCGGUGGCGAAGGCGGGUCUCUGGGCCGAUACUGACGCUGAGGAGCGAAAGCGUGGGGAGCGAACAGGAUUAGAUACCCUGGUAGUCCACGCUGUAAACGUUGGGCGCUAGGUGUGGGGGGCCUCUCCGGUUCUCUGUGCCGCAGCUAACGCAUUAAGCGCCCCGCCUGGGGAGUACGGCCGCAAGGCUAAAACUCAAAGGAAUUGACGGGGGCCCGCACAAGCGGCGGAGCAUGCGGAUUAAUUCGAUGCAACGCGAAGAACCUUACCUGGGUUUGACAUGGCCGCAAAACUGUCAGAGAUGGCAGGUCCUUCGGGGGCGGU